CUAUUCCUUUGGGUUAAGUUGGUGCUUUGGUCUUACUGCAGAAGUUGGCACACCUGGGCUGCUGGCCGUGUUACCCAGGACUCACCUCCUUGCGAUUCUUUCUGGUGAGGCUCUGCCAUGCUUGAACCAGGGCAUCCUUUCUCUUGGCAGCCCUGCUGGUGCCGAUCCAUUGGGGCUCUGAACAUCAGAAUGGCACUGGGCCUCCAUGAAGUUCCUUAAGGAGGACAACAGAGGAAUGUUGGAUCCUAUGUGGCUGAUGUGUGGAUGUGAUAUUCAGAAAGCUAAUCCUUGACAGCAACAAAUUGGAAGUUCCUGGGCUUGCAAAUAAAUGUGGGUAUUUUCAUCAGACCUUCAUAUUUUCUUCAGUAACUGUGAAAUCAAAAGCACUUCUAAAAAUCCAUCGAGAACACUUUGGAGUCGUGGGGAAUAUCCAGGUUGGUCUGCUAGAAUUACUGGAUGGAAGAGACAGUGGAAAAUAAUAGUUGGCCACACUGGUCUCAGGAAAACAGGGCGGAAAUGGGUAAAGCCAUUAUGAAAAUCAAUUUACCCUAGAAACCUGUAACUACAUAGGCUUUUUUUUAUUGUUAUUUCUGAACUCAGAGCUCUGUGUGAUUAAUGGAUCAAACAGUGUAAGCUAGACCUGAAAUGUCUGUUCGAAAAUAUUAUGUUAAAUGCUCCUGCUCAUUUGCAUACUGUCUGCCUGUUAAUAAAGUCACAGGAGAGGAAGAAA